AAGUCAGAUGUGAAAGCCCCGGGCUUAACCUGGGAACUGCAUUUGAAACUGGUCAACUAGAGUAUGGUAGAGGAAAGUGGAAUUUCUGGUGUAGCGGUGAAAUGCGUAGAUAUCAGAAGGAACAUCAAUGGCGAAGGCAGCUUUCUGGACCAAUACUGACGCUGAGGUACGAAAGCGUGGGGAGCAAACAGGAUUAGAUACCCUGGUAGUCCACGCCGUAAACGAUGAUAACUAGCCGUUGGGGGGAUUUACCCCUUAGUGGCGAAACUAACGCGUUAAGUUAUCCGCCUGGGGAGUACGGCCGCAAGGGUAAAACUCAAAUGAAUUGACGG
rnacentral:rRNA from 1 species